GCAGCCGCGGUAAUUCCAGCUCCAAUAGCGUAUAUUAAAGUUGUUGCAGUUAAAAAGCUCGUAGUUGAAUUUCGGGGUUAGUAGGUUGGUCAUGCCUCCGGUAUGUACUGAUCUCACUGAUUCCUCCUUCCUUAUGAACCGUAAUGCCAUUAAUUUGGUGUUGCGGGGAAUUUGGACUGUUACUUUGAAAAAAUUAGAGUGUUUAAAGCAGGCUAACGCUUGAAUACAUUAGCAUGGAAUAAUGAAAUAGGACGUUCGAUCUUAUUUUGUUGGUUUCUAGGAUUGACGUAAUGAUUAAUAGGGAUAGUUGGGGGCAUUAGUAUUCAAUUGUCAGAGGUGAAAUUCUUGGAUUUAUUGAAGACUAACUACUGCGAAAGCAUUUGCCAAGGAUGUUUUCAUUAAUCAAGAACGAAAGUUAGGGGAUCGAAGACGAUCAGAUACCGUCGUAGUCUUAACCAUAAACUAUGCCGACUAGGGAUCGGAUGAUGUUAAUUUUUUAAUGACUCAUUCGGCGCCUUACG
rnacentral:misc_RNA from 1 species